rnacentral:rRNA from 1 species
ACUCCUACGGGAGGCAGCAGUGGGGAAUAUUGCGCAAUGGGGGAAACCCUGACGCAGCAACGCCGCGUGAAUGAAGAAGGCCUUCGGGUUGUAAAGUUCUGUCAAUUGGGAAGAAACCUCCAAGGUAAAUAGCCUUGGAGAUGACGGUACCUAAGAAGGAAGCUCCGGCUAACUACGUGCCAGCAGCCGCGGUAAUACGUAGGGAGCAAGCGUUAUCCGGAAUUACUGGGCGUAAAGGGCGUGUAGGCGGCCAAUUAAGCUAGGUGUAAAAUGUUACAGCUCAACUGUAAACCCGCAUCUAGAACUGGUUGGCUAGAGGAUGAGAGAGGAAAGUGGAAUUCCUAGUGUAGCGGUGGAAUGCGUAGAUAUUAGGAGGAACACCAGUGGCGAAGGCGGCUUUCUGGCUCAUACCUGACGCUGAGGCGCGAAAGCGUGGGGAGCAAACAGGAUUAGAUACCCUGGUAGGCUCUGCU